rnacentral:snoRNA from 1 species
AGGUCGUUUCAAAGAGGGUGCAUGGCAGUACAACCUGUAGCUCUUAACGCAAUGACCUAAGAUUGAAAUCCUCAGCAGGAUGCCAUGGGCACUUGGUGUGCACUGUGGUCUAUUACUGAGGAGAUACU